rnacentral:rRNA from 1 species
AGUGAACGCUGGCGGUAGGCCUAACACAUGCAAGUCGAACGGCAGCACAGUAAGAGCUUGCUCUUACGGGUGGCGAGUGGCGGACGGGUGAGGAAUACAUCGGAAUCUACUUUUUCGUGGGGGAUAACGUAGGGAAACUUACGCUAAUACCGCAUACGACCUACGGGUGAAAGCAGGGGAUCUUCGGACCUUGCGCGAUUGAAUGAGCCGAUGUCGGAUUAGCUAGUUGGCGGGGUAAAGGCCCACCAAGGCGACGAUCCGUAGCUGGUCUGAGAGGAUGAUCAGCCACACUGGAACUGAGACACGGUCCAGACUCCUGCGGGAGGCAGCAGUGGGGAAUAUUGGACAAUGGGCGCAAGCCUGAUCCAACCAUACCGCGUGGGUGAAGAAGGCCUUCGGGUUGUAAAGCCCUUUUGUUGGGAAAGAAAAGCAGCAGGUUAAUACCCCGCUGUUCUGACGGUACCCAAAGAACAAGCACCGGCUAACUUCGUG